GGUCUAUUAGUCUAGUGGUUAGGACAUCCGGUUUUGAUCCACCGGUUGAUCUCCGGAAAACAUCAGUUCGAAUCUGGUAUAGACCU